rnacentral:piRNA from 1 species
GUCCCAGACUGUAGUCCUGUGCCUGC